AGUCCGGAUAUUUCUUCGGAGCACUCCCCGUGAUACAUGCGAUAGAAGAUGCACAGUGAGGAUACAUCUCUACGCAGCGCCAAGGGGUCAAGCGGAUCCGAAAUGUCCUGGCAGUCAACGAUUCGAGCUGCUCUCCGUUCAAUGCGGUCCAGAGGGAGAAGCUGGUACUGGGGCGCACCUGACCAAAGGGGGGCCUCCGGUACCCUCACUCACUCGGCGAAACACAACACAAGUGCUGCUUCACGCCGGUUUUCUGUGAGGCCGUGGUAUCACUCCGGUCGAGUCGGCCCAUUCGUGCCGAAGCAUGGCUUUCCCACGAUAUAAAUGUCACGAAAGCACGCGAGAAAACUUGUGUAGUGUAGUGUUGUAGUUUGGUUUGAAACAUAACAAUACCGCACCUUCCCGCAGCACGCCUGCCAGCACGCGCUCGGCCAGCCCGGCCAGCACGCCGCCCGCCAAGCGCGCCCGGACACACACCAGCGGCCGCUGGCUGCGCGUGAGUGCCGAGGUGCACGCGGCGCCGCGCGCGCGCUCGCAGGCUGCCCGCUGGAGCAGCGGCAGCAGGCGCCCGUCGGAAUCGCCGCGCGGGCGCGACCGCACGCCGAAACAAACUUGAUGCCUUUUGUAGUCCGUUGGACUACAAAAAGCAGAUAUGCAGGACUGUAUUGUAACUUUUUGUACGUGUUCAUUGCAUUUAGCAAGCUUUACGAAGCCUUUUUUAUGUUAUAAUUAAGUUUAAGUUUUUUUUGUAUGUUUAUUUUUACGUAUUGCUCUCCUAAAUACAUUUACUUAAUAAUGUAUAGCUUUUUUGAUGUUAUAUGAACAUUACACAUUUGAUGUGUAUUGUUCUCUGUUUCAUGUUUUUUUGUUAAAUUUUAUAAUAGAACUAGAAACUAGAUAUAGACCAGUUUUCAUAACCUACAUGUUGAUUGUGUAAUAGUAUUUUUGGAAAUGUAUAAGCUCGGAAGAAUUAUACGUUUUUGUGAACAAAAUGUAAUAUCAGCUAUUUGAAGAGUGUUCCACUUUUGUUGUUUUGUUACUCUACAUAAGAAUCGUAAUUUACUACUAACGUG